CUCCGUGUUUUUGGACCCGGUUUGAAUCCUUUCGCUCCCUAUUGCAUUGCCAAUCAUUUUCUUGCUUCUCGCUAAUUUUUCCAAAAAAAAAAACAUGUAAAUUAGUGGUUUUGUUCUUCAUCGUCUUCUUAUAAUCCUUCUCAAGCUUUUGGGGAUUUCUCAAUCGUUGCGUUUUUCCUCUGAGAUUGUGUAUUGGGAUUAUUUUUCAUCGUUGAUUGAUAAAUUGGAAGGAAGAAAACGAGGAUGCCCCAGGAGCAGUUGGAUACCGUUUCGGUUUUACUGAGGCGUAGUCUGUCGAAAAGACGGAGUUUUAGGUCAAGAGUCGAUAGGGAUGACCGAGGUUGGACUUUGCUUCAUAUCGGUGCCAGAAAAGGUGAUCUUAAAGAGGUGAAGCGGUUACUUGAUAAAGGAAUGGAUGUUAAUGCACCUGCAUGGGGUCCCAAAUCAAAAGGGGUG
rnacentral:misc_RNA from 1 species